CCUGUAACAUCAUUAGGAUGUCCUGCUUUAUCAAUUGAAGCACCUUCAACCAUUAAGAAGAAACCUUUAUCAUUUUUAGAUAAACGGUCUAAUGCACUUUUUU
rnacentral:sRNA from 1 species